rnacentral:rRNA from 1 species
UACGAACCGUGCGAACGUUGUUCGGAAUCACUGGGCAUAAAGGGCGCGUAGGCGGCUUUUCAAGUCAGGGGUGAAAUCCGGCAGCUCAACUGUCGAAGUGCCCUUGAUACUGAUGAGCUCGAGGGAGGUAGGGGUAUGUGGAACUUCCGGUGGAGCGGUGAAAUGCGUUGAUAUCGGAAGGAACGCCGGUGGCGAAAGCGACGUACUGGACCUCUUCUGACGCUGAUGCGCGAAAGCCAGGGGAGCGAACGGG